GAUGAACGCUGGCGGCGUGCCUAAUACAUGCAAGUCGAGCGAACAGACGAGGAGCUUGCUCCUCUGACGUUAGCGGCGGACGGGUGAGUAACACGUGGAUAACCUACCUAUAAGACUGGGAUAACUUCGGGAAACCGGAGCUAAUACCGGAUAAUAUAUUGAACCGCAUGGUUCAAUAGUGAAAGACGGUUUUGCUGUCACUUAUAGAUGGUUCCGCGCCGCAUUAGCUAGUUGGUAAGGUAACGGCUUACCAAGGCAACGAUGCGUAGCCGACCUGAGAGGGUGAUCGGCCACACUGGAACUGAGACACGGUCCAGACUCCUGCGGGAGGCAGCAGUAGGGAAUCUUCCGCAAUGGGCGAAAGCCUGACGGAGCAACGCCGCGUGAGUGAUGAAGGUCUUCGGAUCGUAAAACUCUGUUAUUAGGGAAGAACAAAUGUGUAAGUAACUAUGCACGUCUUGACGGUACCUAAUCAGAAAGCCACGGCUAACUACGUG
rnacentral:rRNA from 1 species